CCAGCAGGUCAGCCCCAGCCUGUGCUGAUGCCUGGGGUUAUUCUUUACCAGGAGCAGGACCCUGCAUUUCCUCUGAAAAAU